rnacentral:rRNA from 1 species
UACGGAGGGGGCUAGCGUUGUUCGGAAUUACUGGGCGUAAAGCGCACGUAGGCGGCUUUGUAAGUUAGAGGUGAAAGCCCGGGGCUCAACUCCGGAAUUGCCUUUAAGACUGCAUCGCUAGAAUUGUGGAGAGGUAAGUGGAAUUCCUGGUGUAGCGGUGAAAUGCGCAGAUAUCAGGAAGAACACCCGUGGCUAAGGCGGCUCUCUAGUACGGUACUGACGCUGAGACGCGAAAGCGUGGGGAGCGAACAGG